GUCCUUGGUAUGGCAGCACAUAUACUAAAAUUGGAGUGAUACAGAGAAGGUUAGCAUAGUGACACAGAGUAAGGAUAACAUGCAAAUUCGUAAACUGUUCCAUAUUUUU